rnacentral:lncRNA from 1 species
CAUGCCCUCUCUUGCCAUGUGACACACCUGCUCCCCCUUUGCCUUCCACCAUGACUAUAAGCUUUCUGAGGCCUCACCAGAAGCAGAUGCUGGUGCUUUGCUUCUUGUAUAGUCUGCAGAACUGUGAGCCAAAUAAACUUCUUUAUAAAUUACCCAGACUCAGGUAUUCCUUUAGAGCAACACAAAACAGACUAACACAGAUGCUAAUUUUGGUUACUGGAAAAAACAAACUAUAUAUUCUGCUUAGGACAAAGAUUGCACUUUUUUAAAUAGUAUGUGAUUCUCAUGUUAAUCAAGAGGGUAAAAGGCCAAAGUAUGUUAUGGUACAUCUAAAAUCCAAAUAAGAAAGUCCAAGAAACCAGCAAAAUUGUUCUGACAUGUAUUAUUAAAAUAACCAAUUUCUUUAGACAGCUAAUGUAAUAUAGUAGUAAAAUCUAGCACUUAUAGUUUUUAAAGUAAAAAAUUAAUAAACACAUGUCAACUGUCCUAUUUUAAGAAACCUUGAGCAACUUGCUUGGCAUUUUGCAGACAUUCAAGAUAUCCUGUCUAUGUCUAGGACAUUAAAGCACAAGGAAAAGUAACGUCUGAUGCUACACAAUGACCCAAUAAAUUUAAUGAUUCAGCACAUUAAAUUUACUCAACAAAAAACAAGAAGGUGCAGGCAUACAAAGGAGUUGUGUGGUAUGUCACCAUGGUUCUGCUUUUCAGGAAAACCACAAGCAUUCUCCUCCAUGCUUUUCCGGCUUACUCUUGGCCUAACAGUUUAUGUAUUUAAUUAAAACUUAAACUAUAAUAAAAAAAAAAAAGAAAAGAAAACUCUCCCUCCAGAAAAAAUAAAUAAAUAAA